rnacentral:rRNA from 1 species
UACGAAGGGUGCAAGCGUUAAUCGGAAUUAUUGGGCGUAAAGCGCGCGCAGGCGGCCUUUUAAGUCUGAUGUGAAAGCCCACGGCUCAACCGUGGAAGGUCAUUGGAAACUAAAAGGCUUGAGUACAGAAGAGGAAAGCGGAAUUCCACGUGUAGCGGUGAAAUGCGUAGAGAUGUGGAGGAACACCAGUGGCGAAGGCGGCUUUCUGGUCUGUAACUGACGCUGAGGCGCGAAAGCGUGGGGAGCAAACAGG